AUGAACGCUGGCGGCGUGCCUCAUACAUGCAAGUCGAGCGAACAGACGAGGAGCUUGCUCCUCUGACGUUAGCGGCGGACGGGUGAGUAACACGUGGAUAACCUACCUAUAAGACUGGGAUAACUUCGGGAAACCGGAGCUAAUACCGGAUAAUAUAUUGAACCGCAUGGUUCCAUAGUGAAAGACGGUUUUGCUGUCACUUAUAGAUGGAUCCGCGCCGCAUUAGCUAGUUGGUAAGGUAACGGCUUACCAAGGCGACGAUGCGUAGCCGACCUGAGAGGGUGAUCGGCCAAACUGGAACUGAGACACGGUCCCGACUCCUACGGGAGGCAGCAGUAGGGAAUCUUCCGCAAUGGGCGAAAGCCUGACGGAGCAACGCCGCGUGAGUGAUGAAGGUCUUCGGAUCGUAAAACUCUGUUAUUAGGGAAGAACAAAUGUGUAAGUAACUAUGCACGUCUUGACGGUACCUAAUCAGAAAGCCACGGCUAACUACGUG
rnacentral:rRNA from 1 species